ACGGGUAUAAAAAGAGUCGUAAACCGUUAGGCUAUUAGUUUGAAUCUAGAGCCGUAAGCAGCAGGACAGAGAACCAAAGACAAAACAAUCAGCAAAUCAGAUAUCUUUACGAUUAUACUAUGAAGCAACUGCUAGUCAUUACGCUAUGCCUGCUAUUGACAUCCACAUAUGGCAGUUUACCCAARAUAUCCCCACCGUCGAACCUACAAACCAGUGAAUGUCACCAGUGCUACCUGACCUGCAAGUACAAAGCAGCGGAGGAGUGCUAUCACAGGUGCCCGAGGAACUUUCGCCUGGCUCGACUGCUAAGCAUGUGCUACGAGAUGUGUCUUAUGGGUAAUAUUGACCGAUGCAUGGCGCUGGAUGAAUGCAAGAGACGUAGGCAGGAGAGGAUAACCGCUGAUGYCGAGUUUAUGGACGCAAUYGACGAUGCGAUCAAACGAUUUAACUGAUCUUGGAUCAAAAGGACUCAAAGCGUUAUAUCAUGUAAAUUUAUGCUUUUAUAUAGUUUUUAACAACAAGAAUUACUUAUAAAUCAAACAAAAAAAUGCGAUAAAAAGACAGCAUCAAAUAAGAAAUGUUCUACACGUGACGCACAUGGAACGAAGAAAAAAAACCUUGUAAAACGAAAMGUUUUAUAGCAUUACAUAUUCUGUUGUAUUUGUAUGAUUUGCUUUGUAUAUUACGAUGUCCUUUAUUUUGCUGUAAUUUCGAAAAUUUGUUGGUUAUUUUGCAGGUCUUCUCUGAAUUUAAGCUUAGCUUUAGAUAACAUUCUAUGUACAAACGAAUUAUUUUAGUCUUAAUGAUUAUUUAAACAAAACUGCAACGGUUUUCAUGUUGCCGGAGUUUCAGUUAUAAAUUAAUACGCAUGUAUAUUCAAUAAGACAUAAUUUGCAAUAAAUAAAUAUCAUGUAAUCCAA